GCAGAAUUUGAGACAUACAGAAUUACCAUAGGCCCAUCAGAAUCAACAAUCUUUGCCAAACUUGAUCCGGACUGCAAAACUUACAAAGAUGUUUGCAUACUGAAGAAGAGUCCUUAAUGAAACCCUCUUGGUGCCCACUACACAGGCAGGGGUGUCCAGGCCUGAUCUAAGAAAGCCAGUGUUCUGUGGAGUUCAGCUCUUACACACCUGCCUGGAACUUCAGACUAAUGAAAUUGAAGUAUCCAGUGAAGACCCUAGCAGUAUGGAGUAUAUGGUGAGUUUUUUUUUUUCAAGGUUAAUAAAUGAUUUGUUAAAGUUAAUACACAAUAAUUUGAGUUCUCCAUCCUUUUAGGAUACAGACG